GCAUUGUCACACAUGCUUCAGUGCUCUGAGAGUGUUUAUAGUGCUGUGAGUUUAACACUUCAUGACUGAGAGCAGAACAGAACACAAUCUUCAUCAUCACACAAGACAAAAGAACAACAAUGAACAAAAUCACCUUCUUCAUCUGGACUCUCACUCUGAUCGCUCAAGAGUGUAGAGGACAGUACACUGUAACUCAGAGUCCAUCAAUAACAGCAGUUCAACCAGGACAAGAAGUCAGAAUAAACUGUAAAACCAGCAGUAGAGUGUAUGGUGGUAAUUAUUUAGCCUGGUACUUACAGAAACCUGGAGAAGCUCCUAAA